rnacentral:rRNA from 1 species
GGCCUUGACAUGCAGAGAACUUUCCAGAGAUGGAUUGGUGCCUUCCGGGAACUCUGACACAGGUGCUGCAUGGCUGUCGUCAGCUCGUGUCGUGAGAUGUUGGGUUAAGUCCGUAACGAGCGCAACCCUUGUCCUUAGUUACCAGCACGUUAUGGUGGGCACUCUAAGGAGACUGCCGGUGACAAACCGGAGGAAGGUGGGGAUGACGUCAAGUCGUCAUGGCCCUUACGGCCUGGGCUACACACGUGCUACAAUGGUCGGUACAAAGGGUUGCCAAGCCGCGAGGUGGAGCUAAUCCCAUAAAACCGAUCGUAGUCCGGAUCGCAGUCUGCAACUCGACUGCGUGAAGUCGGAAUCGCUAGUAAUCGUGAAUCAGAAUGUCACGGUGAAUACGUUCCCGGGCCUU